GCGCGAUCCCAGCCCAGAAGCCUGGCGCAGGAGAGGAGCAGCAAAAAGCUGGUGUGUGGUGGAAUGAGGCCUGGAUUUUGAGUCCAGCAGGAAGACAGACAGAUCCCAGGGAAAUUUGGGAAGAUGGAAACUGGUCUGUAACAGCUAGGAGAACAGAAUCAACGGUGGAGCAGUGCUCUCAAACUUGCCCAGCCAAGAUUUCUGGUACUUCAGAGGUAGUUGAUGACAUGUCAAGAACCUGGACUUGGAAGCCAGACAGUCCUGAGCUUGAACCUCAGCUCUGGAGCUUACUCACCAGUGACCUUGGGCAGACCAAAGCUGCAGGAUGUCAGAUCUAAAAUAAUACAAGGCCUACCUUUCAGAGCCGUUCUAAUGGAAAGGGCCUUGCACAGUGUCUGGCCUACAAUGGGUACUCCGCAAAUGCAAGUUACUGCUUCUCUCUCACCUUGACGGUCCCCCUACUUCACUCUCUACUAUGUCUGUGAUUCUUUUUCUCAACAUUCCACUCUUCUGAGUGAAAAGCAGCUGUGGAUGAGAAGUGAGGGUGAAUGGUGCUCAGGGAAUCACAUCACAUGUUUGCCCCCCUCUCCCUAUGUGGUGGUUAACAUAUGCCC
rnacentral:lncRNA from 10 species